rnacentral:rRNA from 1 species
CCAGCAGCCGCGAUAAUUCCAGCUCUAAUAGCGUAUAUUAAAGUUGUUGCAGUUAAAAAGCUCGUAGUCGGAUGUCGGGCUCGGGCAGGCUGUCGGCUUCGGUCGGACGGCAGGCUCGGGUCUUUCUGCCUGAGGAACCCGUGGCACUUAACUGUGCGGCGUGGGGACGCAGGCCGUUUACUGUGAAAAAAUUAGAGUGUUUAAAGCAGGCUUAUGCCGUUGAAUAUAUUAGCAUGGAAUAAUAAGAUAGGACUUUGGUACUAUUUUGUUGGUUUGUGCACCAGAGUAAUGAUUAAUAGGGACAGUUGGGGCUAUUCGUAUUCCAUUGUCAGAGGUGAAAUUCUUGGAUUUCUGGAAGACGAACUACUGCGAAAGCAUUUAG